CGGAAACUCCACAUCCUGUGGGACCUGGGCCAUAGUCAUUCUGCCUGCCCUGAAAGUCCCAGAUCAAGCCUGCCUCAAUCAGUAUUCAUAUUUAUAGCCAGGUACCUUCUCACCUGUGAGACCAAAUUGAGCUAGGGGGGUCAGCCAGCCCUCUUCUGACACUAAAACACCUCAGCUGCCUCCCCAGCUCUAUCCCAACCUCUCCCAACUAUAAAACUAGGUGCUGCAGCCCCUGGGACCAGGCACCCCCAGAAUGACCUGGCCGCAGUGAGGCGGAUUGAGAAGGAGCUCCCAGGAGGGGCUUCUGGGCAGACUCUGGUCAAGAAGCAUCGUGUCUGGCGUUGUGGGGAUGAACUUUUUGUUUUGUUUCUUCCUUUUUUAGUUCUUCAAAGAUAGGGAGGGAAGGGGGAACAUGAGCCUUUGUUGCUAUCAAUCCAAGAACUUAUUUGUACAUUUUUUUUUUCAAUAAAACUUUUCCAAU
rnacentral:lncRNA from 1 species